rnacentral:rRNA from 1 species
AGUGAACGCUGGCGGUAGGCCUAACACAUGCAAGUCGAACGGCAGCACAGUAAGAGCUUGCUCUUACGGGUGGCGAGUGGCGGACGGGUGAGGAAUACAUCGGAAUCUACUUUUUCGUGGGGGAUAACGUAGGGAAACUUACGCUAAUACCGCAUACGACCUACGGGUGAAAGCAGGGGAUCUUCGGACCUUGCGCGAUUGAAUGAGCCGAUGUCGGAUUAGCUAGUUGGCGGGGUAAAGGCCCACCAAGGCGACGAUCCGUAGCUGGUCUGAGAGGAUGAUCAGCCACACUGGAACUGAGACACGGCCCAGACUCCUACGGGAGGCAGCAGUGGGGAAUAUUGGACAAUGGGCGCAAGCCUGAUCCAGCCAUACCGCGUGGGUGAAGAAGGCCUUCGGGUUGUAAAGCCCUUUUGUUGGGAAAGAAAAGCAGCAGGUUAAUACCCCGCUGUUCUGACGGUACCCAGAGAAUAAGCACCGGCUAACUUCGUG